UUUCACUAUAACAGCUUUAAAACAAAUGGGGCUUUCCCUUUCUUUGCUAGGGUUUCAGCCUAGCUUAGGAACCCAAAUGCCAGACCACCACGCGCCGCCGCGGCACCCCGAGAACGGCGACCGACGUCGCACAAAGUAGGGCCUUUAAGCCCGUUUCUCAGGUUUCGGGGAGGAGCGCCUCUUUUCCCACAAAGAAGAAGAGAGAACGAAGCCUCCCUUUCCUCAACCUUCAGCCCUUGCGAUGGAGAUCGGCUCUCCGACAAAGCGGUCACGGGGCCUCUCCGGUGGUCUGACACGCGUGGAGGGCCAACGGCAGCAGUGUCAGAGGCGUGCGCUGAAGGUGCCUGGUGGCUGGGGGUGGCAGACGAGGAGGCCACGCGAGGCAUGCGGCGGCCAGCUAGGGUUUGCUGCUGAAAUUUUGCUGAAAAAUGUUUUAGAUUUUGGGCCAUUUGGGCUUUAGGGUUUUGAUUUGUUUGGGUUUAAAUAUGGGUUUGAUGUAACUGGACUGUUUAACUUUGGAUUAUUUGGGUUUGUUUUGCUGGUAUGGGCCCGGGCAAAAAUGGGUUCUUACAACUAUUCUCUAAAAGUCUUGCAUACUUCAUUUUAAUGUUAUUACAUAAAAGGGUCAGUUUGUGUGAUAGAAUAAA